rnacentral:rRNA from 1 species
CGYGACCCCAGGUCAGGCGGGAUU